rnacentral:rRNA from 1 species
ACCACGGAGACGGAGCACCAAGUGAAGGGUGGACUCCUUCUGGAUGUUGUAGUCCGCCAAGGUGCGGCCAUCCUCAAGCUGCUUACCGGCAAAGAUGAGACGCUGCUGGUCCGGGGGGAUGCCCUCCUUGUCCUGGAUCUUCGCCUUCACGUUGUCAAUGGUGUCAGACGACUCCACCUCCAGGGUGAUGGUCUUGCCAGUGAGGGUCUUCACAAAUAUCUGCAUGCCACCACGGAGCCUGAGCACCAAGUGGAGGGUGGACUCCUUCUGGAUGUUGUAAUCCGCAAGGGUGCGGCCAUCCUCAAGCUGCUUGCCGGCAAAGAUGAGACGCUGCUGAUCCGGUGGGAUACCCUCCUUGUCCUGGAUCUUGGCCUUCACAUUGUCAAUGGUGUCCGAGGACUCAACCUCCAGGGUGAUGGUCUUGCCAGUGAGGGUCUUGACAAAUAUCUGCAUACCACCACGGAGCCUGAGAACCAGGUGGAGGGUGGACUCCUUCUGGAUGUUGUAGUCCGCAAGGGUGCGGCCAUCCUCGAGCUGCUUGCCAGCAAAGAUGAGACGCUGCUGGUCCGGGGGGAUGCCCUCCUUGUCCUGUAUCUUUGCCUUGACAUUGUCGAUGGUGUC